GACGAACGCUGGCGGCGUGCUUAACACAUGCAAGUCGAACGGAAAGGCCCUGCUUGCAGGGUGCUCGAGUGGCGAACGGGUGAGUAACACGUGGGUGAUCUGCCCCUUACUUUGGGAUAAGCCUGGGAAACUGGGUCUAAUACUGGAUAGGACCAUGCUGUAGGUGGUGUGGUGGAAAGAUUAGUUUCGGUAAGGGAUGAGCUCGCGGCCUAUCAGCUUGUUGGUGGGGUAAUGGCCUACCAAGGCGUCGACGGGUUGCCGGCCUGAGAGGGUGGACGGCCACAUUGGGACUGAGAUACGGCCCAGACUCCUACGGGAGGCAGCAGUGGGGAAGAUUGCACAAUGGGCGCAAGCCUGAUGCAGCGACGCCGCGUGGGGGAUGACGGCCUUCGGGUUGUAAACUCCUUUCAGCCAUGACGAAGCCCUUGUGGUGACGGUAGUGGUAGAAGAAGCACCGGCUAACUACGUG
rnacentral:rRNA from 1 species